GAUAUUAAAAGUAUCGAGGAAACCGCACGGAGGCCUGGUGGCAGUUGGACUUCUUACGUGGUGUCUCAGGGUUCCAAGCACAAGCGUUCCCAGUGAGCAAGGCGGAAACUGCAUGGCCUCUUCUGAAUCUCUGUUCACACCCUUCAUUUUUCCUUGUUGGUCUUCAACUUUUGUGUCAAUAAUUGAGACAUACCAGCAACUCUCCCCAAUUUCAGGGGUAGGAGCCUGUCAUGCCAUUUACCUAAAGAAGCUCAUCUUCUCAGUACAUCUGGUUUCCUUGAGGACAAGACGCAACACAAGGAGAGAAGCCCAGGGAAAGGGAGGAGGACAAAAGAGCUGAGCAGAAGACUGAGGCUAUUGAGCCGUCCAGUCCAGUCCAGUCCAGCCACUGGCUGGCUCCCUCUGGCAAAUGAACACCGGGAAGGAGGCUACAGCGACCUGAGGUGUGCCGCAAACAUAAAAUAUAUGCUGGAUUUCAAAGAUGUACUAUACAGAAAGCAAGCAAAAUACCGUAUCAGUGGCUUUUUAGAGUGACACGUUGAAAUGGUAACAUAUGGGAUAUAUAGGGACAGAUAUUAAUUUCACCUGUUUCUUCUUGCUUUAAAUGGAACUGACAAUAGCUAAAUUUACCAAUGUGGCUUGCAUUGUUUCUACCAGAGGUGGCUGUUUUAAGUGGCUUAUAAAUGAGUAUGAGAUUAAUUCCAGAAAAGGGAGAGGAGGCACUGCACAAGCAUACUGGGGACGGUUGGAAGACUAUUUGUAAUGUCCUUCCCCCAAGGGAGAAAUUUCAAGUUGACUGGAAACUUAUAUCCCAGCACUGUGACUGGAAAACCAGGCCAACUGAUAUAACCCUGAUGGUUGGUGACCAAAUCCAGCCAAUGUAAUUUAAAUAUGGGUUCUAAUGAGGAUGGCAAGUCACCAUUCAAGGGUCGUGGUUGUAAGAGAGACUGCUGUCAGUGGAUUCAGGAUUUAAUGUAAUACUAUGGACCUUCAAGAUAAAUUAUACAAAAACAAAAGCUUGUCUAAACACCAGGAAGAAGAAUCAAUGGAAACAAUCAAGAGAGGAUUACCUUGUACAUUUCUCAAAAGAGAUAAACCUUGCAAAACAUAAGAUUCCAAUGUGGAGGUGUUGUUCACAAGAUGGUGGCUUAACAAAGGAAAUCUUCCUUUUUGUGAAACAGCAACAUCUGUGUUUCUAAUGCCUGUGAGUCCUGUAGAGAAAUUUAUAGUCACCUUGCACCAUUCAUAAGCACCCCUCCCAAGAAUGUAAUGUGCAAUAAUGAUAAAUUCUGAGUGUAUCUGGUUCUUGUAUAUAAAGAGCAUCUGCUUUGAAAAUCUCUAGUUUGGAAUAUCGUGAAUCCUUGGACAGAAGCCAUCUCCAGAUCUGCUACAUUUUUUUUUUUUUUUCCCAUUUCUCUUUUCUGUAGGUUCUAUGAUGUAGCAUUAGUGGGCACCCAUGACUGAAAGUCCUCAACACUAACUCCACACCUCCCUACUACUGUCUGGAUGAUCUGAUAUCCGGGGAUGGGUGACCUAACUCCACACCUCCCUAC